rnacentral:rRNA from 1 species
GACGAACGCUGGCGGCGUGCUUAACACAUGCAAGUCGAACGGAAAGGCCUCUUUCGGGGGGUACUCGAGUGGCGAACGGGUGAGUAACACGUGAGUAACCUGCCCUUGACUUUGGGAUAACUUCAGGAAACUGGGGCUAAUACCGGAUAGGAGCUCCUGCUGCAUGGUGGGGGUUGGAAAGUUUCGGCGGUUGGGGAUGGACUCGCGGCUUAUCAGCUUGUUGGUGGGGUAGUGGCUUACCAAGGCUUUGACGGGUAGCCGGCCUGAGAGGGUGACCGGCCACAUUGGGACUGAGAUACGGCCCAGACUCCUACGGGAGGCAGCAGUGGGGAAUAUUGCACAAGGGGUGGAAGCCUGAUGCAGCAACGCCGUGUGCGGGAUGACGGCCUUCGGGUUGUAAACCGCUUUCGCUCAUGACGAAGCUUUGUGUGACGGUAGUGGGUAAAGAAGCACCAGCUAACUACGUG